rnacentral:piRNA from 1 species
UAGUUUCGAAAUCUUCUUUUU